rnacentral:rRNA from 1 species
CCUACGGGUGGCAGCAGUGGGGAAUAUUGCACAAUGGGGGAAACCCUGAUGCAGCAACGCCGCGUGAGUGAAGAAGUAUCUCGGUAUGUAAAGCUCUAUCAGCAGGGAAGAAAAUGACGGUACCUGACUAAGAAGCCCCGGCUAACUACGUGCCAGCAGCCGCGGUAAUACGUAGGGGGCAAGCGUUAUCCGGAUUUACUGGGUGUAAAGGGAGCGUAGACGGUGUGGCAAGUCUGAAGUGAAAGCCCGGGGCGCAACCCCGGGACUGCUUUGGAAACUGUCAUGCUGGAGUGGUGGAGAGGUAAGCGGAAUUCCUAGUGUAGCGGUGAAAUGCGUAGAUAUUAGGAGGAACACCAGUGGCGAAGGCGGCUUACUGGACAGUAACUGACGUUGAGGCUCGAAAGCGUGGGGAGCAAACAGGAUUAGAUACCCUGUAGUC